rnacentral:rRNA from 1 species
AAGACCUUGCACUUUUGGAGCGGCCGAUGUCUGAUUAGCUAGUUGGUGGGGUAAUGGCCUACCAAAGCUUCGAUCAGUAGCUGGUCUGAGAGGACGGCCAGCCACACUGGGACUGAGACACGGCCCAGACUCCUACGGGAGGCAGCAGUGGGGAAUUUUGGACAAUGGGCGCAAGCCUGAUCCAGCCAUGCCGCGUGAGUGAAGAAGGCCUUCGGGUUGUAAAGCUCUUUCAGCCGGGAAGAAAAGGUUGCGACUAAUAAUCGCAAUCCAUGACGGUACCGAAAGAAGAAGCACCGGCUAACUACGUGCCAGCAGCCGCGGUAAUACGUAGGGUGCGAGCGUUAAUCGGAAUUACUGGGCGUAAAGGGUGUGCAGGCGGUUUUGUAAGUCAGAUGUGAAAUCCCCGGGCUUAACCUGGGAACU